rnacentral:rRNA from 1 species
CCUACGGGAGGCAGCAGUGAGGAAUAUUGGUCAAUGGACGAGAGUCUGAACCAGCCAAGUAGCGUGAAGGAUGACUGCCCUAAGGGUUGUAAACGUCUGUUAUAAAGGAAUAAAACGAGGCACGUGUGCCUGUUUGAAUGUACUUUAUGAAUAAGGAUCGGCUAACUACGUGCCAGCAGCCGCGGUAAUACGGAGGAUGCGAGCGUUAUCCGGAUUUAUUGGGUUUACAGGGAGCGUAGAUGGGUUGUUAAGUCAGUUGUGAAAGUUUGCGGCUCAACCGUAAAAUUGCAAUUGAUACUGGCAGUCUUGAGUACAGUUGAGGUAGGCGGAAUUCGUGGUGUAGCGGUGAAAUGCUUAGAUAUCACGAAGAACCCCGAUUGCGAAGGCAGCUUACUAAACUGUGACUGACAUUGAUGCUCGAAAGUGUGGGUAUCAAACAGGAUCAGAUACCCUGGUAGUC